rnacentral:rRNA from 1 species
UCCUACGGGAGGCAGCAGUGGGGGAUAUUGGGCAAUGGGCGCAAGCCUGACCCAGCAACGCCGCGUGAAGGAAGAAGGCUUUCGGGUUGUACACUUCUUUUAAGAGGGAAGAGAAGAAGACGGUACCUCUUGAAUAAGCCACGGCUAACUACGGGCCAGCAGCCGCGGUAAUACGUAGGUGGCAAGCGUUGUCCGGAUUUACUGGGUGUAAAGGGCGUGCAGCCGGGCUGACAAGUCAGAUGU